GUUUAAUAAAGUGCUGCAUGCCAUCUGGAUAGAAUUCCCCAUAUAUCUAUUAAAUUGCUUCUUUGAUUUGAUCACAGUGAGGGAUCAGUUCAUACUUGAGUUACUGAGAAAAUCUGUCUUCAUACCUGGAAGCUAUCAUAGUAGGGACUCUGAAAACAGAAAAUAAAUGAACAAAUGAGAGAUUGUUUUCUUUAGAAAAAUAGAUUAAUAAACUGUCUGUACAGUAAUAUAUAUGUCCAUAC
rnacentral:lncRNA from 1 species